AUUGAACGCUGGCGGCAUGCUUUACACAUGCAAGUCGAACGGUAACAGGCCGCAAGGUGCUGACGAGUGGCGAACGGGUGAGUAAUGCAUCGGAACGUGCCCAGUCGUGGGGGAUAACUACUCGAAAGAGUAGCUAAUACCGCAUACGAUCUAUGGAUGAAAGCGGGGGACCGUAAGGCCUCGCGCGAUUGGAGCGGCCGAUGUCAGAUUAGGUAGUUGGUGGGGUAAAGGCUCACCAAGCCAACGAUCUGUAGCUGGUCUGAGAGGACAACCAGCCACACUGGGACUGAGACACGGCCCAGACUCCUACGGGAGGCAGCAGUGGGGAAUUUUGGACAAUGGGCGCAAGCCUGAUCCAGCAAUGCCGCGUGCAGGAAGAAGGCCUUCGGGUUGUAAACUGCUUUUGUACGGAACGAAACGGCUCUGGUUAAUACCCGGGGCUAAUGACGGUACCGUAAGAAUAAGCACCGGCUAGCUACGU
rnacentral:rRNA from 1 species